UUGGUUGUUGCUGACUACAGAAAGAUUCUUAUAUGGAGGCAUGUAAAAGCAAGGAAAGUGAAACUUCAGCUAGACCUUGAGUUCAGUUUACAAUAUGAAGAUCCUGAUAUCAACAUCUGAUCUGAUCAACACCUGAUUUUCAUCUGAGCUGCAGAGUACCAACAUGUUACAAAUGAGAAUUUUCCCCACAAAUUCUUUGGACAACCGCACCACCACCUAUUUCAUUUGAUGACAAUUUUAAGGCAAACAGCAUCCAAAACUGACAAGACAGCAGAUACCCUGGCUAAUCUUUUGAAGGUUUAUGAUGAGCAGGAACUGCAUGAUGUCAGUUCAUGAUGGACUACUGUUAUCAGAGGUCUUUUGGUCUUGCUGCGUGAGCGUGACCGGG